GGAUUUCUGGCGGGAGCGGGUGGUCCGGCACUUUGUGUUGGUACUUUCCUGUCUCUUGCCAUCCUUGGGUCUAAGCUGUCUGGCAUUUAGUUGUCGGGCAGUGGCUGCCCAUCGUUUACUGUGAAAAAAUUAGAGUGUUCAAAGCAGGCUUAUGCCGUUGAAUAUAUUAGCAUGGAAUAAUAAGAUAGGACCUUGGUACUAUUUUGUUGGUUUGCGCACCGAGGUAAUGAUUAAGAGGGACAGUUGGGGGUAUUCGUAUUCAAUUGUCAGAGGUGAAAUUCUUGGAUUUCUGGAAGACGAACUACUGCGAAAGCAUUUACCAAGGAUGUUUUCAUUAAUCAAGAACGAAAGUUAGGGGAUCGAAGAUGAUUAGAUACCAUCGUAGUCUUAACCAUAAACUAUGCCGACUAGGGAUUUGUGGGUGUUAUUUUUGACCC
rnacentral:rRNA from 1 species